UACGUAGGGUGUGAGCGUUAAUCGGAAUUACUGGGCGUAAAGCGUGCGCAGGCGGUUUUGUAAGUCAGAUGUGAAAUCCCCGGGCUCAACCUGGGAACUGCGUUUGAAACUGCAAGGCUAGAGUAUGGGAGAGGGAGGUAGAAUUCCACGUGUAGCAGUGAAAUGCGUAGAGAUGUGGAGGAAUACCAAUGGCGAAGGCAGCCUCCUGGCCUAAUACUGACGCUCAUGCACGAAAGCGUGGGGAGCAAACAGG
rnacentral:rRNA from 1 species